CUACGGGGGGUGCAGUGGGGAAUAUUGGACAAUGGGCGCAAGCCUGAUCCAGCCAUGCCGCGUGAAUGAUGAAGGCCUUAGGGUUGUAAAGUUCUUUCACCGAUGAAGAUAAUGACGGUAGUCGGAGAAGAAGCCCCGGCUAACUUCGUGCCAGCAGCCGCGGUAAUACGAAGGGGGCUAGCGUUGUUCGGAAUUACUGGGCGUAAAGCGCACGUAGGCGGAUAUUUAAGUCAGGGGUGAAAUCCCAGAGCUCAACUCUGGAACUGCCUUUGAUACUGGGUAUCUUGAGUAUGGAAGAGGUAAGUGGAAUUGCGAGUGUAGAGGUGAAAUUCGUAGAUAUUCGCAGGAACACCAGUGGCGAAGGCGGCUUACUGGUCCAUAACUGACGCUGAGGUGCGAAAGCGUGGGGAGCAAACAGGAUUAGAUACCCGAGUAGUC
rnacentral:rRNA from 1 species